rnacentral:rRNA from 1 species
AGGGGCAUCACGAGGUAGCAAUACUUUGGUGGCGACCGGCGCACGGGUGCGUAACGCGUAUGUAACCUACCCAUAACAGGGGCAUAACACUGAGAAAUUGGUACUAAUUCCCCAUAAUAUUCGGAGAGGCAUCUCUCCGGGUUGAAAACUCCGGUGGUUAGAGAUGGGCAUGCGUUGUAUUAGCUAGUUGGUGGGGUAACGGCUCACCAAGGCGACGAUACAUAGGGGGACUGAGAGGAUGUCCGGCCACACUGGAACUGAGACACGGUCCAGACACC